rnacentral:rRNA from 1 species
CCUACGGGAGGCAGCAGUGGGGGAUAUUGUACAAUGGGGGGAACCCUGAUGCAGCGACGCCGCGUGGGUGAAGAAGCGCCUCGGCGCGUAAAGCCCUGUCAGCAGGGAAGAAAAUGACGGUACCUGAAGAAGAAGCCCCGGCUAACUACGUGCCAGCAGCCGCGGUAAUACGUAGGGGGCAAGCGUUAUCCGGAUUUACUGGGUGGAAAGGGGGCGCAGACGGCGAUGCAAGCCAGGAGUGAAAGCCCGGGGCCCAACCCCGGGACUGCUCUUGGAACUGCGUGGCUGGAGUGCAGGAGGGGCAGGCGGAAUUCCUGGUGUAGCGGUGAAAUGCGUAGAUAUCAGGAGGAACACCGGUGGCGAAGGCGGCCUGCUGGACUGCAACUGACGUUGAGGCCCGAAAGCGUGGGGAGCAAACAGGAUUAGAUACCCCAGUAGUC